UUUCCUCGAACCGGUUCUCAUAUUCGACCAUAUUCGAUCCACACUAUUAAGAUCUCGUCGGGUCGGGGAGAGCCGAAAAAACCCUACACGCCCAGCUUCCUCGAAGGCUCCAUCCAGCUCCUGCCUCUCUCUGCUCUAUCCGCUCCCCGUUCUGUAUCAGCGCUCCCACUUCUUUCUCCUCUGCUCUCCCGAGGUUUUUGUUAUUUGGAAUCAUGAGGACGCGAAAUACCGACAGUACCAGAUCUGGGGCGGCCAAGAAGACGCCUCCGGCCAAGAAGGAUGCUUCCGCCGAUAAAACACCGGAGACCGCUCCCAAAUCCACGCCCAAAUCGGGAGCCAAGUCCGCCAAAGGCGCCGGCAAGCAGUCCGCAGCCAAGGCUGCAGCUGCGGCGGCCACCGCCGCCGCCGCCGCUGCCGCUGCCGCUGCCGCCGCCGCCGCCGCUUCCUCUGCCCCUGCAGCAGCCACGUCCGAUGCUAAGACGGGACCCAAAGUUGAGGAAGUGGCGACGCCGGCCGAUGUGAAGAAGCCGGCUUCGGCCGUGAAAUCUCCUCCGGAGAAGAAGGCCGGUGGGAAGGCCAAGCUGCCGCUGGGUGGGAAGGCUGCUGCAGCUGCUGCUAAGGUGGAGGAAGCACCAUCAAAAGUUGAGGAUGCCGUGGAAGAGCCAGAACCACCAAAGGGGGAGGAAGCGAUGGAAGAGCCACAACCGAAAGCUGGAGACGAAGAUGCGCGUAAGGAGGAGGAGCCGAAAGUUGAUACCGUUCUGGAUAUUAACAAUGAGCUGGAGAGUGAUUCUGCAAAGAAUGAAGAAGAAGAAGAAGAGGAUGCGGAGGACCAGCAGAUGGAGGAGGGGGAGCCUGAGUCUUUCCAAGAGCCUGGUGAUGAGGAGCUUGUGGGUGGGGAGGAGGACGCAGCAGGGGGAGGAGAGGAGGCAGUGAUGGGGGGAGAAGAUGAAGGUGCCCCGGUGGAGGAAGAGGAGGAGUUUGAGAUUUCAGACAUGGCUAAGAAGAGGAAGAUGAAGAAAGAGCAGGAGAUCUUCGUUGGGGGUCUGGAUCGUGAUGCUGUGGAGGAUGAUCUGAAGAAGGCAUUUGAGAAGGUUGGGGAGGUUGUUGAGGUCCGGCUCCACAAAGAUUUUGCUACCAACAAGAACAAAGGCUUUGCAUUUGUGAAGUUUGCCAACAAGGAGCAGGCUGCCAAGGCGCUCUCGGAAUUGAAAAAUCCUGUUAUACGUGGCAAGCGCUGUGGCAUUGCACCAAGUGAGGACAAUGACACAUUAUUUUUAGGCAACAUCUGUAACACAUGGACAAAGGAAGCUAUUAGGAGAAAACUUAAGGAUUAUGGAGUUGAUGGAGUUGAGAGUAUCACUCUUGUUGCGGACACCCAAAAUGAAGGUCUGAGCCGGGGAUUUGCUUUCCUUGAGUUUUCUUGCCAUGCAGAGGCAAUGCUUGCCUACAAGAGGCUCCAAAAGCCAGAUGUUAUUUUUGGCCACCCUGAGAGGACUGCCAAAGUGGCUUUUGCUGAGCCAUUACGUGAACCAGAUCCAGAAGUUAUGGCCCAGGUUAAAUCGGUUUUUGUUGAUGGGCUGCCACCAUAUUGGGACGAGGAUCGUGUGAAAGAGCAAUUUAAAGGGUUUGGAGAGAUUGAGCGUGUUGUGCUAGCCCGGAAUAUGUCAACUGCCAAGAGGAAAGAUUUUGGAUUUGUAAACUUUACAACUCAUGAAGCUGCUGUUGCUUGUGUUGAAGGUGUGAAUAACAGUGAAUUGGGUGAUGGCAAGUCCAAGAUGAAAGCAAGAGCUAGACUUGCCAAUCCAUUACCCAAGACGCAGGCUGUAAAGGAUGGAAUGAGUGGUGGGUUUCGCAUUGGACACACUGGCAUGGGCGUUUAUUCUAGGUUUGGUAGGGGAUUUGGUAGGGGAAGAUAUUUUUCUCAUAGGGCAGGCUUUCAGGGUGGGAGGGGUUUUAAUUUUCGUGGAUAUGGAAGAGGUGGAAGAUUUUCUUUUCCAGCUGAGGACAAUCUAGAAAUCCCACCUUCUGAAUUCCAUGGUAGGAGGCCAUUUGGAUUCCGAGAGUUACAAGAGUUAAGGGAUUAUCAUGAUUUGCUACUAACAGGUGGUGGAAGAGUUUCGACAUCAGCAAGGCAUGGUGCUUUUGAUAGAGGUCGUGGAAGAGCCUUCCCAUCCAGGAGGCCGCCAUAUCUACCAGAGGAGGAGUUUGGUGGACCUUUUGGUUCUCGACACCUUGGUGAAGAUCCUUACUUUUAUGGAGAUGUUGGGCAUGGUAUCAAGCGUCCAUUUUCAAUGAUGGAGCACGAUCCUGGUUACUUGGAACCUGGGCCUAGAAUACGUCCUCGUUUUGAUCAUCCUGAUCCAUUGGCUGGUGGGAGUCGCUAUCGAGAUUCAUUGGGAUUGAGUGGUCUGUAUUCACAUGAUUAUUAUGGUUCAGAUUAUGGGGGUAGCACAUAUUCAUCUCUUUAUGGAGGUGAACGUUCAGGGGGCGGCUAUUAUUAUUAGAUGUAAUUUGCAAAUGCGGGUAUGAUGCUGCAGGCGGAAGCACUUUCUUGAUAAGAUGAUGAUCUCAGUUGUCCCUUUUAUUGUACAUUGAAUUGGUCGAUCUCUUAGAACUUUCUUGGCAACUAGGAUUCCAAGUAUAGUUUGGUCUAGUUUAUUUUCCUUGGAGAAACUAUUUAGGCUUAUGCCAUUUGUGUGUGAGAUAGUGCUGGAUAGCCUAUUUUAUGAUGAAACCAAUCGGAAGUAGAGUAUCUAUGUUUUAAUUAACUUCACUCAUCAAGUGUGAACUCUUGAAGUCAACUUGGAGAUAACAUCUAUGUUUGGAUUAAAGUAAUUUGCUCUUUGUUGGUGAUGAAUGUAUUUGAUCUGUUGGAAUGCUGAACAAAACAAAUGGGAAAACCAUUAAUUUUGGAUCUGCUGGUUGACUAAUCUGUUAAAGUUGGCAAAGUAUUUAGAGCCCAUGGAAUUCACAGGAUUAUACAAUCAGAGAUCUUCCUGAUUAUGAAAUGGCAUACUAAAAGUGUGCAUUUGAUUUUAUAGUACAAAAUAUUUGAUGAAACAAAACAUGAAGACUAUGACUGCAAUUCUUUUUGUGGUUUCCAAGUGGAGUGAGAGAGAGGAGUGGUUAAUAUUACUAUAUCAAUGAUUCCUAUUUGAUACAAGCAUUCUAGUAGAUGUUUAAGAGAUCACAUUUGGUAUUCUUUCCAUUGAAUACUUGUUUAUGUUGCUUUUGUAUGCAAGGGAUAGAAUUCAAGUUGUUAAAGUUGCUCUUGUGGUUCUAGAACUAUUUAAUCUCUUGUUAUCAGGGAUUUACUUUUUUUUUUCUUAGAAAAAGUGUAAUCGAUCUUGAUUAAAUUGGAGGGUCUCUGAAGUAGUGUCCGAUGCUUUUUCAAGAAAGCUGCUUAUGUUGUUGUUGUGAGGAAUCUUUUCUUUGCCAAACUAUAUUAUCAAGUUUCCCUUCUGAUGAAAAAGGCUCUAAUUAAGGUUCUUAUGAAGAUUUCUGAAUAUGUUUGUCACUGGUUGCAAUUGUAAGUUUUUUAGUGGAUUUGAUGAUAAUCCUCCUUUGCAGUUCCAUUGACAUUUCCUUUUGGUCUUCAGUUCUGUGCUCCAAAGAAUUGUAGCAUGAAGUACAAAAAUAAUAUGGAUAUUGCAGCAUGUAAUAUGGCCCAUCGUGUUUACGAGUUGUAUCAUCAUUGUUGAUUUGUAUAUGCUUCGGAAGCUUUGCUGUUGCUGUUGAUCCUUCUUAUGGGACCAUGAAUGUGGUAGUUUUCAGGGUGGAAUCUAAAUUCAUCCUUUUGUUUUCUUACGACUAUUUUAAUUUUUAACUGGACGCUGAAUGUGACUGGACGAAUUUAUUCUUCGUGCUCCAACUUGUCUGUUAUUGCCUUACAUUGUAGUGUUGUGGAGUGUCAUAUUAUGCUGCUUCUUGUCCGAGUUUCCUCUUUGACGUGGAACAGAUGAUAUCACAUGAAGUUGGAAGGUUUCGUUACUGUAAUUUUGGGCUUUGUAAGUCAGGAUGGUACUAAUCUGAUCAAUUUUGAAUCGUUAUGCUGAAAGAGAGAUGACGAGGAUCAUCACUAUUUCAGAAUUGUUAAAUGAUAUUAUACAAGAACUCCAUUAGGAAAUGUUGAUCUGCUUCAGCAUGUUGAGAUAUCUGAGUCAGAUUGCUCUUUCCAUGACAUGAUUGGGGAUAUGAUGGUGUUGAUAGAUGUGAUUUUCAAAUUGCAUCCUAUGUUGGUCUAGUUUUGUUUCUUCUGGCGAUAAUUUCAAGUGUCAUUUACCAUGGAUAACUAAAAUUUUGUAAUGCUUAGAUGCUGGUGAAACUGUUGGAGUUGUGCAUACUGAGCAAUGUUUGAAUGGAAGUGCAAAACAUUCUCAAAUAUACUACUAGGAUUUGCAGAUAGUUGGCUUGGUAUAUUAUGCAUUUACUUUUGAAACGUCUCAGAUAUUUACAUUUUUUUGUUCAAUCUUUAGACAGAGAGCUGUAUAAAAUUUUCUGCUAUCGAUAAUGAUAUAUGGAGCUUAUAUGAACUUUAUCAUGUGUUUCUGCCAUUCGUCAUCUGCUGUAAUAAGCAAUAUUAGUACACAGCUCAUGCAUAAGCAGGAAACUUUAGAACAAAGCUGUUAUUUGCUUGAUGCUUUGUGCUCCAUGAAGCAUUUAUGUUUCAUUUAGUUUUCAACUAUGGCAAUUAAGGAACUGAAGAUUAUCAAGACCUAUGCUAAGAUGAUGCUAAGAUUUAUAAUUAAUUGAGCUGGAGUCUUAAUGGUAAACACUACAUCUUGCAGAUGGCUUCCAUGUGGAUACUUUGAUUUGGUCUAAUGAUUAGUAACUUGUUGAAUAAUUCAUUUUGUCAUGCAAUUGGUUGUUUUAAAUGUUGGAGAGCUUAGCAUAUGUGGAGGUCAGCUUAGAGAUGAAGCUGAAUCUGAGCAGACCUGAUCAGGCUACUUAAGAAUCAGUUAAGUCAGAAGUACUUACAAGUUCAUUCUCUCAUUGUAAAGUCAGAGAUUGAAGUGGAGUUCACAUUACUGGAUCAGAUGUGGAUAUCCUAAAUUAAGACAGCAAUUUGAAGUUAUGUUACAUUUUUCUAUCAGGAAAGAAUAACUUCUCUGUAGACUGACUUUGUUAAUUCAAUUCAGAAAGUGAAGUUUAGAAGUUGUUAUUUAUAGCACGAGAAAACAGUGGAUAAUGAAAUCAACGAACUUAAAGGGGGACACUUUGUGGAAUUGUCACAUUUAGAAGGUACUGGUAGCUGCAGGUUGCAGCAUGUUUUUACUGAAUUGGUUGUCUGAGUGCUUCAUGGAUAAAAUGGUUUAAUGAAGAUGAUAUGGUUUGUUAAUGCACUGUUUGGUUGCUGAUAAAAUGAAUAAAAACAAAGAGUAAAUCAGCAGAAGGAAAAUUAGCAGUUUUCUCAUGUUUGGCUGAAUUAAGAAAAUAAUAAAGUCCCAGAGAAAGUGGUUAAAAUGGGGAUAAGUUAUCCUGAAUCACUUGUGUUCUUGUUGUUUUCUCUCAAAAUUGUUACAUUUUGGAGAAGAAAAAUUAUGGCCCUUCACUCUUUUUUUUUCUUUUUUAUUGUACUUGAAGUUUUCUUUUAAUACCAACUAGUGUAAAAGUUUUCUCUUUAACAAAAUUUGUUUUCUUUUACUUUCUUUUCCCCCGAACAGAGCCUAAAUUUAUUCUAUGCAAACCGGUCAUGUAUACAAUACUUUGUUCGCCUCUUUUGAUAUUGAACCCAUGUUUGUAUGUCAACAUGGUUGUGUAACUAAAUUUUGUGGUUAGCAUCUGAAAAAAAAGUGAAAAUUUUCUUAAGGCUCUAAGGUGCUUAGUUCGUAAUUAGUUGAUUGUGAUGGUAUAGCAUUCUCAAAAUAGAAUAAUAUAACAUAGAGUAUUUAUUCUAUUCAUUGUGUAUGUCAGACUGUCACUAACUGCAAUCAUGAAUUUUAGUUAUAUAGUAUCUAUGGUAUAUUUGUGCAAAUUGAUAUGUAUGUAGAUAGUUCAUAGUUAUUCAAAAACAUCCAUUCAUUCAUAUAACUGUUUGAUAUCUGAUGUUGCUGUGCAUCUUGAGGCUGUUAUAAUUAGUGUUCCUUGUUGACUUGGAUCACUUUCCUCUAAUUAUUGCUUUUGGAUCAUUGUCUCUCUAAAUAGUAUCCUUUCGUGACUUCAAAUUCAUUGUGUUUAAAUUCUAUAUGAUCUAGAUAGAAUUCUUGCUAAUACUUAGUGUUUUCGAGGACAACAUGCGUGAGCAAGGUUUUAAAUACUGGUGGGAUAGUGGGGUGUCCCACCGUCCUGAUUGUUGGGACAACACACUCUUGAAUGUCGAUAUGAGAUAAAUGGGGAAAUGGAUCGAGAUGGGAUGGGAUAUCCACUGUCCUAAGUGUUGGACACGAUUUGCCGGGGUUUUGGAUUGCUAGGUUUGAUAUUUUGAUUUAUAUUUCAAAGUUGUUCUCAUUGGGGAGGAGCGGAAUUAAAGGCACCUAAAUACUUUGUUUGCUUUCAUUUAAUUGAAAACAUUAAUUUCAAAAGGUAGAUACUUUUGGGGAGGCCUUAAGCCUCUCUCUCUCUCUCUCUGACUCCUUCCUUUUCUCUCUCUCUCUCUCUAUAUAUAUACACACAUGUUUCUCUCCCUCUAUGCACACAUAAACACACAUACAUACAUCAUAUAUAUUGUACAUACAUGCAUAUUUAUAUAUGGAACUAGGUAAUGGGAGAUCAGAGUUUGAAAUUGUUAAUCAUUUUCUAUUCUUUAUUAUUUGAUCACAAUAUUGUUGAUCAUUUUCUAUUCUGUAGAGUUUGAAAUUGUAGACUCAGAAAAGUUUGAAAAUCUUGACAUUUCUUUUCUUAUUAUGUUGAUGAAAAAGUUGCAUAUAGAUUGGUUAUAUAAGGGCUGAAUCUUAAAUAAAACAAAAUGCAAAUAAAACUUGCUAUAUCAUGUUUUAUUUCACCUCAUGAGGUGGAUAUAGCAGAUUUUAGUCCAUGUGCGGGACAAUGAAUUAUUGCAAUUGUCAGUGAAAAAGAAUUGGAGCAGCCUUCAAAAUUAUGAAUAUUUUUGCAUAGAACUAGGAAAUGGAAGAUACUAGAGUUUGAAAUUGUUUGUUAUUUAGUAUUCUGUUAGUAUUUGAUCAAACUAUAGAUUCAGAAAAGUUUGAAAAUCAAGAUUUUUGUUUUUCUUAUUAUGUUGAGUAAAAAGUUGCAUAUAGAUUUAUAACGUAAGGGCUGAAUCGCAAGUUAAAAAAUGCAAAAUUAACUGGCUAUCUCAUGUUUUAUUUCACCUCAUGAGGUAGAUAUAGCUGAUUUUAAUCCUAUGUAGGGGACAAUUUAUUGUUGUGAUUGACAGUGAACAAGAACCAGAGCAGCCUUUGAAUUGAGUAUUUUCAAUGAUUUUGGAAUUUUUUAGAGGAUUUUUUUAAUUUGACAUUUUUUGAGCUCACUGUAGGCAGUGGACUGGAUCCUUGUGUAUAACUGUUCUGUAUGAAAGCUGAUGUUAAUGCAGUGGAAUAAUGUCAUGAUAUUAUUGGAGAAAUACUGGGGUUGAAUAACUUAGUUUUCUUAUUCUAUCAUUUGAAUGGGGGUGCUUUAUGUGGUACGGAAAAAUGUGAUGGAGGGAGUUGAACAGGUGCUUUAUGGUUGCCUUUUAGCAUAAAAUUUAUAAGAUUGCAGGGCUGCUUUUAUUUAUUGUUUAGACUGUAUUAUAAAGCAGUCCUAGCCCAUGUAGCAAGCAUGAUUGAGAUGAUAAGAGGCAGAUCUCUGGUAUGACCAGAUAUGUUUCUGGCUGCACUGAUUGAGGAUGAAGUUUUGGAGAACCAAGAUGGUGCUACUGUGUUAGUGAAGAUUUGAUGAGAUCUGGCCCCCUACAAGGAGGACAUGAGGGGAGCGAAGACCCAAUCUAACAUGGAUAGGAGUUGUGAGGAAAGAUAACAGUUGUAGUAGAUACAUCCCAUUCCAAUAGUAAUGAAUUCCUGGAUAAGAGCAAGAUGGAUGCUUCUUGGCUUUGAUUAUGGUUUUAGAUUUGUGAUGAAUUUUAUGAUGAGAAGUUUCUUCCUGUCUAAUUACCUGUUUGGCUGUAACCCAAUUUGGCUGCAUCCUUAUAUGUGUUGGCUGAACAAACUUAUUGUAGCUAUUUCAAAGGAAAUACUUGGUUGUGAUUAUGUGAUCAUGUUUAGGCCAUGUUGCUCCAUGUGCCAGUCAAACAUUUUUUUUUUGGAGUGGAAAAUUCAUGUAGUUGUUUCUGUUUCUGCAUUUUUAACCUUUUAAUGUGUUAGGAAUUUUUAGAUUAUUUGAUUACUCAAUAUAAUGCUGACAAGCAUGUUUCACCCAAUUUGUGUUCACUGUUAGCUGAGGGUUUAGCAAUUAUACAUGCUACUGACUUGUUUGGAUGCCUGCAUAUGUUGUUCGUGGAAUAUCCCUACACCAAUGGAUAGUGAGGAGGAUGUGAAAGCAUGGUGGGGAUCACACGAUCAAAUUAUACGAAUGCUGGAUUCCCUUUAAUGGUGGUUUUUCUGGCUCCCAAACUUUAGGUUUGGGUGCUUCUAGCCCCUUGGGGCUGUGUUGAUUGCCUCCUGCCUCUGUGCUUCUCCUUGCUUGCUUCCCAUGGAAACAGGAUGCUAGCAUCCAAACAGAGCCUAGAGAAAUCUAGGAUUCGUUUUUAAUAAUAGAGCAGCUCCUUGUCGCAUAUGUUGUUCGUACAGGAUCCCUACAACAAUGAAGUGUUGUGGAGGAGAAGGGGGAAGUGAAUAAUAUGGUGCUAUGGGGAUGGGGAAAUUAUUGCAUGCACUGCAUGCACGGCCAUGCUGGUGCACAUCACCAAUCACUGCAUGCUCACACAUGGUUUGCAUUCAUCGCGCACUCAUCUCGGGGAGCCUGACAGCAAUACAACGUGGCGAUCGAUGGCGUGCACCAGCAUGGCCGUGCAUGCAGUGCAUGCAAUAAUUUUCGAUGGAGAUGGGUGGUAUUACCCAAUCAUGAAAUCAUAGAGAUACUGGGUUCCUCUUAAAAGGUGAUUUCCGGCAUUACCAGAAAAAGGUAAUAUCUGGCAUUCCCUUUCCCUCCAGGUCAGACUGAUUGCUUUCCCUGCCUCUAUGCUUCUCACUUUUCUCGAUGCAGGGCAUGUCUGGAUGAUUGCAUCCAAAUGGCCCCCAAAGGAUGGAGUGCAUAUGAAAAUGCAGAGCAGAUCCUUGUCAAGCACCACUGCUUUGUUGCAUUUCAAAGUUUUUGUUGAUUCAUGGCGUGCAUAUAUCUCUUGGAAGCUUUAACCACGUCUCCUGGAACCCCAACUUGGCACAUUCAUAAGCUUGAGCACUGUUUAGUUCCAACUUGUACUUGGAGUGGUACUAUGCAACUUCCAUGAGUCCCAUAGAGCCAUUGAAUAUGGUAACGGUUAGUUGAUGCUUCACAUUUGAGUGGCGCAUGCAACUCCUCUGUUAAAACACAAAGCUUUUGUAUUUAACUACAAAGUUAUAAUGUAUGCAUAGAAGAAGGAUAGUAGCCAGUGAACUUCAAUGUUCUAAAGACAUGUUAGUCAAGUAGACUUUGCAAUUCUCAUAAAUCAUUUUUGAAGACAAGCGUCAAACGUAGUGCUAGCCUGCUCAAGCUCCUGUUGAUUGAAACCCAGUUUUCUUGCAUAAUGUAAUAUAUUGGAUCGUUGAAGAUGUUUGUCAUCUUUGG